rnacentral:lncRNA from 1 species
UUGAGAGAGUUUUGAGGUAGAGAGAUUCUGAGAUUGAGAUUUGGGAGGAGGACGAUGAGUUUCGAAAUUCGUUUGCGUCCUCCAUUUUCAGUUCUUUUUUUUAUUAUUAUCAUUUGCUCUUUAAUUAAACAUUAUAAGACAGACCAUUUAACUCCAUUUAAGUGACCCUUUAGUGUUCCCAGUGGACAUUAACGUUGGUGUUUAACAAUGAUUCCAUUUUUUUUACUAUUCCCAACUCACUAGCCUCUAGAACCCAACAGCCAAGCGGCUGGGUUUAAUUAUGGUAGUCCAACAGUUUUCUUUUUUAUUAAUUUUUUUAUUUUAAUUCUAAUUUUUAAUCUAUCUUGGUUUAU